AUUGAACGCUGGCGGCAGGCCUAACACAUGCAAGUCGAGCGGAUGAGAAGAGCUUGCUCUUCGAUUCAGCGGCGGACGGGUGAGUAAUGCCUAGGAAUCUGCCUGGUAGUGGGGGACAACGUUUCGAAAGGAGCGCUAAUACCGCAUACGUCCUACGGGAGAAAGCAGGGGACCUUCGUGCCUUGCGCUAUCAGAUGAGCCUAGGUCGGAUUAGCUAGUUGGUGAGGUAAUGGCUCACCAAGGCGACGAUACGUAACUGGUCUGAGAGGAGGAUCAGUCACAAUGGAACUGGGACACGGUCCAGACUCCUACGGGAGGCAGCAGUGGGUAAUAUUGGACAAUGGGCGAAAGCCUGAUCCAGCCAUGCCGAGUGUGUGAAGAAGGUCUUCGGAUUGGAAAGCACUUUAAGUUGGGAGGAAGGGCAGUAAGUUAAUACCUUGCUGUUUUGACGUUACCGACAGAAUAAGCACCGGCUAACUCUGUGCCAGCCGCCGCAGUAAAAC
rnacentral:rRNA from 1 species